UCCUCCAAGGCUAAAUACUCCUGACUGACCGAUAGUGAACCAGUACCGUGAGGGAAAGGCGAAAAGAACCCCGGCGAGGGGAGUGAAAAAGAACCUGAAACCGUGUACGUACAAGCAGUAGGAGCCCCACCACCAAAGCGUUUCGCUUUGCGUGGUGCGCAAAAUGCGUAACGACAGCAUGAUGGACGGUUAACGGAGCGUCAGCGACGUUCAACCUCAAAAAUCAGGCAGUGGAGCGUUUUGGGGUGGGGUGACUGCGUACCUUUUGUAUAAUGGGUCAGCGACUUAUAUUCUGUAGCAAGGUUAACCGAAUAGGGGAGCCGCAGGGAAACCGAGUCUUAACUGGGCGUUAAGUUGCAGGGUAUAGACCCGAAA
rnacentral:rRNA from 1 species